rnacentral:misc_RNA from 1 species
AGUUCGAUCAUGGCUCAGAUUGAACGCUGGCGGGAUGCUUUACGCAUGCAAGUCGAACGGCAGCACGGACUUCGGUCUGGUGGCGAGUGGCGAACGGGUGAGUAAUGUAUCGGAACGUGCCCUAGUAGCGGGGGGAUAACUACGCGAAAGCGUAGCUAAUACCGCAUGCGCCCUUCGGGGGAAAGCGGGGGACCUUCGGGCCUCGCACUAUUAAGAGCGGCCGAUAUCGGAUUGGCUAGUUGGUGGGGGUAACAGCUCCUGAGCAGCGAUCGUAGCUGGUUUGAGGAGGACGACCAACCACACUGGGACU